UACGUAGGGAGCUAGCGUUGUCCGGAAUCAUUGGGCGUAAAGCGCGCGUAGGCGGCCCGGUAAGUCCGCUGUGAAAGUCAAAAGGCUCAACCUUUGAAUGUCAGCGGAUACUGCCGGGCUAGAGUCCGGAAGAGGCGAGUGGAACUCCUGGUGUAGCGGUGGAAUGCGCAGAUAUCAGGAAGAACACCAACGGCGAAGGCAGCUCGCUGGGACGGAACUGACGCUAAGGCGCGAAGGCCAGGGGAGCAAACGGG
rnacentral:rRNA from 1 species